UACGUAGGGGGCUAGCGUUGUCCGGAAUCAUUGGGCGUAAAGCGCGCGUAGGCGGCCCGGUAAGUCCGCUGUAAAAGUCCAGGGCUCAACCCUGGAAAGCCGGUGGAUACUGUCGGGCUCGAGUCCGGAAGAGGCGAGUGGAAUUCCUGGUGUAGCGGUGGAAUGCGCAGAUAUCAGGAGGAACACCAAUGGCGAAGGCAGCUCGCUGGGACGGUACUGACGCUGAGACGCGAAAGCGUGGGGAGCGAACAGG
rnacentral:rRNA from 1 species